rnacentral:hammerhead_ribozyme from 1 species
GUAUUGCCGAAGAGUCCCAAACUAGGACGAAACAACUGUCCAGUAC